rnacentral:rRNA from 1 species
GACGAACGCUGGCGGCGUGCUUAACACAUGCAAGUCGAACGGAAAGGCCCUGCUUUUGUGGGGUGCUCGAGUGGCGAACGGGUGAGUAACACGUGAGUAACCUGCCCUUGACUUUGGGAUAACUUCAGGAAACUGGGGCUAAUACCGGAUAGGAGCUCCUGCUGCAUGGUGGGGGUUGGAAAGUUUCGGCGGUUGGGGAUGGACUCGCGGCUUAUCAGCUUGUUGGUGGGGUAGUGGCUUACCAAGGCUUUGACGGGUAGCCGGCCUGAGAGGGUGACCGGCCACAUUGGGACUGAGAUACGGCCCAGACGCCUACGGGAGGCAGCAGUGGGAAAUAUAGCACAAUGGGCGGAAGCCUGAUGCAGCAACGCCGCGUGCGGGAUGACGGCCUUCGGGUUGUAAACCGCUUUCGCCUGUGACGAAGCGUGAGUGACGGUAAUGGGGAAAGAAGCACCGGCUAACUACGU